CGCGGGGUGCUAUACAUGCAAGUCGAGCGAACAGACGAGGAGCUUGCUCCUCUGACGUUAGCGGCGGACGGGUGAGUAACACGUGGAUAACCUACCUAUAAGACUGGGAUAACUUCGGGAAACCGGAGCUAAUACCGGAUAAUAUAUUGAACCGCAUGGUUCAAUAGUGAAAGACGGUUUUGCUGUCACUUAUAGAUGGAUCCGCGCCGCAUUAGCUAGUUGGUAAGGUAACGGCUUACCAAGGCAACGAUGCGUAGCCGACCUGAGAGGGUGAUCGGCCACACUGGAACUGAGACACGGUCCAGACUCCUACGGGAGGCAGCAGUAGGGAAUCUUCCGCAAUGGGCGAAAGCCUGACGGAGCAACGCCGCGUGAGUGAUGAAGGUCUUCGGAUCGUAAAACUCUGUUAUUAGGGAAGAACAAAUGUGUAAGUAACUAUGCACGUCUUGACGGUACCUAAUCAGAAAGCCACGGCUAACUACGUGCCAGCAGCCGCGGUAAUACGUAGGUGGCAAGCGUUAUCCGGAAUUAUUGGGCGUAAAGCGCGCGUAGGCGGUUUUUUAAGUCUGAUGUGAAAGCCCACGGCUCAACCGUGGAGGGUCAUUGGAAACUGGAAAACUUGAGUGCAGAAGAGGAAAGUGGAAUUCCAUGUGUAGCGGUGAAAUGCGCAGAGAUAUGGAGGAACACCAGUGGCGAAGGCGACUUUCUGGUCUGUAACUGACGCUGAUGUGCGAAAGCGUGGGGAUCAAACAGGAUUAGAUACCCUGGUAGUCCACGCCGUAAACGAUGAGUGCUAAGUGUUAGGGGGUUUCCGCCCCUUAGUGCUGCAGCUAACGCAUUAAGCACUCCGCCUGGGGAGUACGACCGCAAGGUUGAAACUCAAAGGAAUUGACGGGGACCCGCACAAGCGGUGGAGCAUGUGGUUUAAUUCGAAGCAACGCGAAGAACCUUACCAAAUCUUGACAUCCUCUGACCCCUCUAGAGAUAGAGUUUUCCCCUUCGGGGGACAGAGUGACAGGUGGUGCAUGGUUGUCGUCAGCUCGUGUCGUGAGAUGUUGGGUUAAGUCCCGCAACGAGCGCAACCCUUAAGCUUAGUUGCCAUCAUUAAGUUGGGCACUCUAAGUUGACUGCCGGUGACAAACCGGAGGAAGGUGGGGAUGACGUCAAAUCAUCAUGCCCCUUAUGAUUUGGGCUACACACGUGCUACAAUGGACAAUACAAAGGGYAGCGAAACCGCGAGGUCAAGCAAAUCCCAUAAAGUUGUUCUCAGUUCGGAUUGUAGUCUGCAACUCGACUAUAUGAAGCUGGAAUCGCUAGUAAUCGUAGAUCAGCAUGU
rnacentral:rRNA from 1 species